GCCCUUUGUACACACCGCCCGUCGCUCCUGCCAAUGGGUGGGGUGGUAAGAAGGUGGAAUGGACCACGAACGUAGUGUCUCUGAUCUCCUUCGAGCUAUGUCAUCUAGAGGAAGGAGAAGUCGUAACAAGGUUUCCGUAGGUGAACCUGCGGAAGGAUCA
rnacentral:rRNA from 1 species